GCCUCGCGAGCACGACUGGCUGUGCAGCGGACUUUUACUCCGUGGGCUCCGGGUUCGAAUCCCGGGCGAGGCA
rnacentral:tRNA from 1 species